rnacentral:lncRNA from 1 species
GACAAAUUGACUUUCCUUAACCAAUUGUGAAUGGAUUUAAGGGGGGGGGGGUAUUGUAAUUCAACAGCUGUAGAGAGAAAAAACUUACUGUGCUUGGAUUUAAAGACAAAUUUUCUUUGACUGUCCAUGGUUUACCAACUGGUAUUGGAAGAAAAAAAGUAAAACAACUGUUUUCACUCUUUUUGUAUAGUAUGCAUUUAUGUAUUGUUUUGUCUUAUCAGCAAAGUGCAAUUGUCUUAUUGAGAGGAAUAUUCUAUCUAUGAGUUUGGUAUGGUGCACAAAAAAAUCAUACUAGGAAUUUUUCAUUCCCACAUCUACCUAAGAAGGCAGCAGCAAACCCACAGUUUACCAUUUGGACUCCAACCAGAAAUUCAGUCUCCCAUCACAUCUUAAAUUUAACCAUAUAUGCCAGAUUACUUGUUAUGCAUUGACAUGAUGAUUCUGAAGUUUAAUCUAGCUAAACACUGGUCCCACUCCAGAAAUGAGACAUUAUGUGUUUAAAAAGUAAAAUAGGCGCACAAGGAUGAAUGGCACUGUAUCACACAGUGCAGGCUUCUCCAACUUUAGUCUGUAUUCUAGGAGUGUCCUGGGAAUCCUGUUAAAAUGCAUGCUCUGAUUCAGGCUGUCUUGGGUGGGCCUGACACCUGCAUUUCUCAUGAGCCUCAGGGAUGCCCAUGCUGCUAGACACAAGGACACACUGAGAAACAAAGACCUAGAGGACACUUAAAACAGAAUAAAAACAAAUAUGACUAUAUUUCUGACUCCCCUCUCUUUCAAUUACCUGACUUUAAUUUUAUGCAUGUACUAAUCACAUCACUGCUGCAUAACAACAUGGUGCCUCUUUAAAACAAAGGAAAGGGAGAAACAAAAGAAAAAAGAUGCAUCAAGCUUAUUUGUCAGAUAUCAUAGUAUUUCAUUCUUUGUUAUCUUGCCAAUAGAAAUAAAAUAGGAUAUUGCAUUUAAAUAUCAUAUUUAUACCUCAUGUAUAUUUUUACCUCAAUUGUUGGUAUCAAUCAUCAAUUGUAAAUAAGUAAUUGCCAAAGUAAAUAAAUUUAUAUAUAUUAAAUAUUUCCUAUUUUCAAUAAAAUA